rnacentral:lncRNA from 1 species
ACCCUUAGCCCUAAUGAGUCGAACGGGCUGACAUUGAUCCCAAUGAAGAGGUUUCCGAAAAUAGAAAGAGCGAGCGGACAGACGGGAUUAAUACAACGGAAGUAAAGCGCCAACAAGGAUUAGGACUUCUGCAUAUCAGAAAGCUCGUGUGAAUACACAAACACACUGUGAGUGGAGGAAGUGUUAGCUGGAACAACUCUGGAAAAGAUUUGCAGCUAUGCUUCACUGUAGUUGAGGAGCAGAUGAUCCUGGCCCGAGGCGGAAUGAAAAUCAGACGAUGCGCGCUGCACUUACACUGACGUUCCUACCAUCAGAAUUCCAGUUGUG